GGCCCAGAUUUGAAGAAAGAUGGAUGAGUAGGAUACGUUGAUCAUACUGAUCUACUCUACUUCAAGUCUGUGCCC
rnacentral:pre_miRNA from 1 species